UACGUAGGGCGCAAGCGUUGUCCGGAAUUAUUGGGCGUAAAGAGCUCGUAGGCGGUUUGUCGCGUCUGCUGUGAAAUCCCGAGGCUCAACCUCGGGCUUGCAGUGGGUACGGGCAGACUAGAGUGCGGUAGGGGAGACUGGAAUUCCUGGUGUAGCGGUGAAAUGCGCAGAUAUCAGGAGGAACACCGGUGGCGAAGGCGGGUCUCUGGGCAGUAACUGACGCUGAGGAGCGAAAGCGUGGGGAGCGAACAGG
rnacentral:rRNA from 1 species